rnacentral:rRNA from 1 species
AAAGGAAUUGACGGGGGCCCGCACAAGCGGUGGAGCAUGUGGUUUAAUUCGACGCAACGCGAAGAACCUUACCAAGGCUUGACAUCCUUAGAACCCGAAAGAGAUUUCGGGGUGCCCUUCGGGGAGCUAAGAGACAGGUGGUGCAUGGUUGUCGUCAGCUCGUGUCGUGAGAUGUUGGGUUAAGUCCCGCAACGAGCGCAACCCCUAUAUUCAGUUGCCAGCAUUUCGGAUGGGAACUCUGGAUAGACUGCCGGUGACAAACCGGAGGAAGGUGGGGAUGACGUCAAAUCAUCAUGCCCCUUAUGUCUUGGGCUACACACGUGCUACAAUGGGCAGUACAGACGGAAGCGAAGCUGUGAAGUGGAGCAAAUCCGAGAAAGCUGUUCGUAGUUCGGAUUGUAGGCUGCAACUCGCCUACAUGAAGUCGGAAUCGCUAGUAAUCGCAGGUCAGCACACUGCGGUGAAUACGUUCCCGGGCCUUGUACACACCGCCCGU